rnacentral:rRNA from 1 species
AGUGAACGCUGGCGGUAGGCCUAACACAUGCAAGUCGAACGGCAGCACAGUAAGAGCUUGCUCUUACGGGUGGCGAGUGGCGGACGGGUGAGGAAUACAUCGGAAUCUACUUUUUCGUGGGGGAUAACGUAGGGAAACUUACGCUAAUACCGCAUACGACCUACGGGUGAAAGCAGGGGAUCUUCGGACCUUGCGCGAUUGAAUGAGCCGAUGUCGGAUUAGCUAGUUGGCGGGGUAAAGGCCCACCAAGGCGACGAUCCGUAGCUGGUCUGAGAGGAUGAUCAGCCACACUGGAACUGAGACACGGUCCAGACUCCUACGGGAGGCAGCAGUGGGGAAUAUUGGACAAUGGGCGCAAGCCUGAUCCAGCCAUACCGCGUGGGUGAAGAAGGCCUUCGGGUUGUAAAGCCCUUUUGCUGGGAAAGAAAAGCGGCAGGUUAAUACCCCGCUGCUCUGACGGUACCCAAAGAAUAAGCACCGGCUAACUUCGUG